GCCCAAGGACAUCAUCAGAGGACAUUGGUAGCUUUGCAGUAACCUGCCUUGGUUGCUUACAUGUUCCCUGACCUACAUGUUUGCAAAUCCACAUAAUGUUUCUUGGUCAUGCAGGUUCCUAUAAAUGAUGUCUGUUCGCAGAAGACACCCAACCCUGUGAGAAGCAAGUCCUGCUCAGUGGAGAAGUGACUCCAGCAUGGAUAGCCCUUUGGUGAACUUCAUGAGAAUUCUGCUGUCUUGAGGAAAGAGAACCCUCCCAAUGUCAUGAUUUUGUGAAGAGUGAUGCUGGCCUCUUUGUUGUAUUCCAUCUUCUAUCUCUGAGUGUUUCUCCUGGAUGUCUUCUGUGCCUAGAACAUUCUCCAUCCUCAUCUGUGCCUCCUAACUUCCUUGGCUUCCUUCAGGUCUUAGCUAAUUCCUGGCAUUCUACAAGAAGACUUUCCCAGUCCUUGAUCUUAGUACCUCCCUCUGAAACUACUCCAGUGUUUAUCUUGUUGGUACAUAGUUGUUUAUACGUUGUCUCCUGCGUUAAACUGUGGGUUCCUUAAAAGCAAGGACAAUUUUUUGCCUUUUUUUGUAUUCACAAAACUUAGCAUAGUACCUGACAUAUAGAAAGCACUUAAUAAGUACUAGCUGACUUUGACUAUGACUAUACCAUUUUCAAAGAAAUUUAAUAACUUUUAAUUAUACAUUGAUGCAUUUUUUAAAACCCUUACCUUCCAUUUUAGAAUCAAUACUGUGUAUUGGUUCUAAGGUAGAAGAGUGGUCAGGGCAAGACAAUGGGGGUUAAGUGACUUGCCUAGGGUCACACAGCUAGGAAGUAUCUGAGAUCAGAUUUGAACCCAGCACCACCCCUUUUCUCUGGGCCUGACUCUCAAUCCACUGAGCCACCUAGCUGCUCUCUAUAUUGAUACACUUUAACUACAUUAUAAUUUCAUUUGUCUUUUUAAAUAUAAACUGCCCCCAUCCCCCCAUCCCUAACAGCAGUAGUAUUGCUCUAUCUCUUGGAGAAAAUCGUUUGUUUCCAUUAUGGUUGCUUAUAUGACUUAAUUUCCUGAAAUGAGUUUCCUCAUUUCAGUAUAUGUCUUUUGUUUUUCUUGUAUAAAAAAUGAUGCACUUAAGUUGAUUCAUGUACUAUCAAUAAAUUCUAUCCUUAUACCA
rnacentral:lncRNA from 1 species